AAACUACUCCCUCCGUCCAGAAAUACUUGUCAUAGAAAUAGAUGUGUCUAGACUUAUUUUAGUUAUAGAUACAUCUAUUUUAUAUAUUUCUAGGACAAGUAUUUUUGGACGAAGGAAAUAUAAG
rfam:Hordeum vulgare subsp. vulgare, WGS project CAJW01000000 data, contig: morex_contig_49615